rnacentral:tRNA from 1 species
GGGGACGCGGCUCAGUGGAAGAGCCUCUGAUUUGCAUGCAGAAGGUCCAAGGUUCAAUCCCUGGCAUCUCCA